CCCUUAGAUGUCCUGGGCCGCACGCGCGUUACACUGAUGCAUUCAACGAGCUUAUAACCUUGGCCGAGAGGCCUGGGCAAUCUUGUUAACGUGCAUCGUGAUAGGGAUAGAUUAUUGAAAUUAUUAAUCUUGAACGAGGAAUUCCUAGUAAACGCAGAUCAUCAAUCUGCAUUGAUUACGUCCCUGCCCUUUGUACACACCGCCCGUCGCUCCUACCGAUUGAAUGGUCCGGUGAAGCGUUUGGACUAUGGUUUUCUGAUGGUCCGCCGUUGGAUUACCGUGGGAAGUUCGUUAAACCUUAUCAUUUAGAGGAAGGAGAAGUCGUAACA
rnacentral:rRNA from 1 species